GCUUACGGCCAUACCAGCCUGGGUACCCCUGAUCUCGUCUGAUCUCGGAAGCCAAGCAGGGUCAGGCCUGGUUAGUACUUGAAUGGGAGACUACCUGGGAAUACCAGGUGCUGUAACCA
ensembl:rRNA 5S_rRNA 5S ribosomal RNA